rnacentral:rRNA from 1 species
UACGUAGGGUGCGAGCGUUAAUCGGAAUUACUGGGCGUAAAGCGUGCGUAGGCGGUUCGUUAAGUUCGUUGUGAAAGCCCCGGGCUCAACCUGGGAAUGGCAAUGGAAACUGGCGGGCUGGAGUAUGGCAGAGGGGGGUGGAAUUCCGCGUGUAGCAGUGAAAUGCGUAGAGAUGCGGAGGAACACCGAUGGCGAAGGCGGCUCACUGGCCCGGUACUGACGCUGAGGCGCGAAAGCGUGGGGAGCAAACAGG